CGAUUGAGAGUUUGAUCCUGGCUCAGGACGAACGCUGGCGGCGUGCCUAAUACAUGCAAGUCGAGCGAGGAGCCGGAAGGCGCAAGCCGGAAGGCGACUAGCGGCAGACGGGUGAGUAACACGUAGGGAACCUGCCUGAGAGACCGGGAUAGCUCCUGGAAACGGGAGGUAAUACCGGAUGAGCUUGCGGGAGGCAUCUUCUGCAAGGAAAGGGGGGGAACCCGCUUUCAGAGGGUCCUGCGGCCCAUCAGCUAGUUGGUGAGGUAGUGGCCCACCAAGGCGAUGACGGGUAGCCGGCCUGAGAGGGUGGACGGCCACACUGGGACUGAGAGACGGCCCAGACUCCUACGGGGGGCAGCAGUAGGGAAUCUUCCGCAAUGGGCGCAAGCCUGACGGAGCCACGCCGCGUGGGGGAAGAAGGCCUUCGGGUUGUAAACCCCUGUCUUCCAGGACGAGGAAGGACGGUACAGGAAGAGGAAGCCCCGGCUAACUAA
rnacentral:rRNA from 1 species